rnacentral:rRNA from 1 species
GAUGAACGCUGGCGGCGUGCCUAACACAUGCAAGUCGAACGAAGGUAUAUAUAGGAAGUCUUCGGAUGGAAUAUGUAUAACUUAGUGGCGGACGGGUGAGUAACGCGUAAGUAAUCAACCUGUGACACACGGAUAACUGAUAGAAAUGUCAGCUAAUACGAGAUGAACUGUUUAAAUUGGGAAAUGGAAACAGCAAAGCGAAAGCGGUCACAGACGAGCUUGCGUCUGAUUAGCUAGUUGGUGGGGUAAGAGCCUACCAAGGCGACGAUCAGUAGCCGGCCUGAGAGGGUGAACGGCCACAUUGGAACUGAGACACGGUCCAAACUCCUACGGGAGGCAGCAGUGGGGGAUAUUGCACAAUGGGGGGAACCCUGAUGCAGCAACGCCGCGUGAGUGAAGAAGGCCCUAGGGUCGUAAAGCUCUGUCGUAUGGGAAAG